CUGUUCACCAGCUAUGAAGCACCGCUUGUGUAGCUGCCUCAAACCAUCCUCUUCUAAAGGACUUCCAAAUAAUUGUGAGCCCAGUCAUCAGGUGUGGUGCUGAAGAGGUUAGCACUCCUCCUCUACUUAUGCUACACUGAUGACAUCUUCAUCAUAUGGGCCCACGGGAAGGAGGCCAUUGAAGAAUUCAGUCUGGACCAGUCCACACAAGAGAUCCACUUCCUGGACACUACAGUGCAAAUGAGUGAUGGUCACAUAAACGCCACCCUAUACCGGAAACCUACUGACCGAUAUACUUACCUACAUGCCUCCAGCUUCCAUCCAGGACACUUCACAUGAUCCAUUGUCUACAGCCAAGCCCUAAGAUACAACCACAUUUGCUCCAAUCCCUCAGACAGAGACAAACACUUACAAGAUCUCUAUCAAGCAUUGUUAAAACUAUAAUACGCACCUGGGGAAGUGAGGAAACAGACUGACAGAGCAAGAUGUGUACCCAGAAGUCACCUACUACAGGACAGGCCCAUAAAGGAAAAUAACAGAACACCCCUGGCCAUAAUGUAUAGCCCGCAGCUAAAACCUCUCCAGCGCAUCAUCAACGAUCUACAACCUAUCUUGGAAAACUAUUCCCAAAUCUCACAGGCCUUGGGAGGCAGACCAAUCCUCAUUUACAGACAGCCUCCUAACCUGGCACAAAUACUCACCAGCAACUACACACCACACCACAGAAACACUAACCCAGGAACCAAUCCCUGUAACAAACCCUGUUGCCUACUCUGUCCUCAUAUCUACUCUAGCGACACCAUCAUAGGACCAAACCACACCAGCCACACCAUCAGGGGCUUAUUCACUUGCGCAUCUGCUAAUGUGAUAUAUACCAUCAUGUGCCAGCAAUGCCCUCUGUCAUGUACAUUGGCCAAACCGGACAGUCUCUAUGUAAAAUGAUAAAUGGACACAAAUCAGACAUCAGGAAUGGUACCACACAAAAGCCAGUAGGAGAACACUUCAAUCUCCCUGGACAUUCAAUAAUAGAUUUAAAAGUAGCCAUUCUUUGACAAAAAAAAAAAAACCCUUCAAAAACAGACUUCAAAGAGAAACAGCAGAGCUACAAUUCAUUUGCAAACUUAAUGCCAUCAGUUUGGGCUUGAAUAGGGACUGGGUGUGGUUGACUCACUACAAAAGCAAUUUUCCCUCUCUUGGUAUUGACACCUCCUCAUCAAUUAUUGGGAGUGGACCACAUCUUUCCUGACUGAAUUGGCCUUCAACUCCCUUCUCUUCAUAGGCCAAUAUAUAUCUAUGCCUGUAUCUGUAAUUAUCACUCCAUGCAUCUGAAGAAGUUUUUUUUUACUCAUGAAAGUUUAUGCCUGAAAACAUCUGCUAGUCUUUGAGGUGCCACCAGACUCCUCACUGUUUUUCAGUUUGGGUUUUGCAGUUUCUCUGGUCCUGGGACUGAAAGCUAGAUUCACGGAGUGUGAACUCACAAGAACUGAAACCUGAAUUAAACCCCCCCCCAUUGUUUGGUACAUUUCUGAAACCAAACUCUUCAUCAUGAGGGCAUUAAAGAAAUCAACAUCUUGUUCUCAAGGAGCAAAAAAAUCCAUCAAAUUGCCCCCAUCAACAACACCGGAUUUAUCAGUCAUUUCAUAUGUCAAUAAAAGGACAAUUUAAAAAAUAAA